rnacentral:rRNA from 1 species
UCGGGAAUUUUGGGCAAUGGGCGAAAGCCUGACCCAGCAACGCCGCGUGAAGGGUGAAGUAUUUCGGUAUGUAAACUUCGUAAGAAUAGGAAGAAUAAAUGACGGUACUAUUUGUAAGGUCCGGCUAACUACGUGCCAGCAGCCGCGGUAAUACGUAGGGACCAAGCGUUGUUCGGAUUUACUGGGCGUAAAGGGCGCGUAGGCGGCGUGGUAAGUCAUCUGUGAAAUCUCCGAGCUUAACUCGGAACGGUCAGAUGAUACUGCUGUGCUAGAGUACAGAAAGGGCAAUCGGAAUUCUUGGUGUAGCGGUGAAAUGCGUAGAUAUCAAGAGGAACACCUGAGGCGAAGGCGGGUUGCUAGGCUGAUACUGACGCUGAGGCGCGAAAGCUAGGGUAGCAAACGGGAUUAGAUACCCAAGUAGUCCCUGAG